AGAGAGAGACAUGCGCGCAUAUCAAUAAGCGGAGGAAAAGAAACUAACAAGGAUUCCCUUAGUAACGGCGAGUGAAGCGGGAAGAGCUCAAAUUUGAAAUCUUCAAGGUUUUACCUUGACGAAUUGUAGUUUAAAGAAGUGUUUUCUGCUGAAGUUUUGGUAAAAGUUCUUUGGAAUAGGACAUCAUAGAGGGUGAGAAUCCCGUAUUUGACCAUUAUUUUCAGCUUUGUGAUACACUUUCAAAGAGUCGGAUUGUUUGGAAUGCAGUCCAAAAUGGGUGGUAAAUUUCAUCUAAAGCUAAAUAUUGGCGAGAGACCGAUAGCGAACAAGUACCGUGAGGGAAAGAUGAAAAGAACUUUGAAAAGAGAGUUAAACAGUACGUGAAAUUGUCAAAAGGGAAGCGUUUGACACCAGUGUUGUUUUCUCGAAAAUCAAUUAAAAAUGGCUCGAUUUUGUAUUGCUUGAGACCUUAAAAGCUCACUGUACAUUUUUCGUGUCUUUUUUAAUGCACUUUUCGUUUAACAAGUCAACAUCAGUUUCUUUUGUUGUAAAAGGGUCAUUGGAAGGUGGCUUUCUUUUCGGAGAAAGUGUUUAUAGCCUUUGGCCUCUGCAAUCGAGAGACUGAGGUCUGCAGCGUAGACUCUUCGGGGUUAGAUACAUUUGUGCUAAGUUAUAGCUUUUUAUAGACAACUUGUUGACUAUAAUUAGUCUUGUAGCUUACUCGCUUAUGCUAUUAUACCUACGCUUAGGAUGUUGAAGAUGUAGCACAUCAU
rnacentral:rRNA from 1 species